rnacentral:rRNA from 1 species
CCUACGGGUGGCUGCAGUGGGGCAUAUUGCGCAAUGGGCGAAAGCCUGACGCAGCGACGCCGCGUGAGGGAUGAAGGUCUUCGGAUCGUAAACCUCUGUCAGCAGGGAAGAACGGUCACUGUGCUAAUCAGCAGUGAAUUGACGGUACCUGCAAAGGAAGCACCGGCUAACUCCGGGCCAGCAGCCGCGUUAAUACGUAGGGUGCGAGCGUUAAUCGGAAUUACUGGGCGGAAAGCGCUCGUAGGCGGUAUGGCAAGUCAACGGUGACAUCCCCCCGCUCAACGUGGGGACUGCCUUUGAAACUGGCAAGCUGGAGUGUGUGGGAGGAUAGUGGAAUUCCAGGUGUAGGAGUGAAAUCCGUAGAGAUCUGGAGGAACAUCAGUGGCGAAGGCGACUAUCUGGAACAUAACUGACGCUGAGGAGCGAAAGCGUGGGUAGCAAACAGGAUUAGAUACCCUUGUAGUC